rnacentral:hammerhead_ribozyme from 1 species
AUCCAGCUGACGAGUCCCGAAUAGGACGAAACACGCGUCCUGAAU